rnacentral:lncRNA from 1 species
CAGGCAGGAAGAGAACUGCGUCUCCUGAUUCCUAAUGCAUUGUGUUACCCACUAGGAAACACUGUCUCUCAGAUAUACUCGUGACUACAUUAACCUGUCAAUACUGGAGCAGCUGUGCCAAUUGCAGGAUCGGGGCUGUUCCUGAGUGGAGACAAGGCCUUGGGCUGCUGGCUCCUCAAGGCAGAGAAAGGGCCGUGCAUUGAGAUCACAGCCAUUAGGGAUGCAAAAGGCCUAUAAGGUCCCAUCUGGUCCAUCCCUCACAGCCUGAGAAGUGAAGUCCUGAAACGGCCUUCCAAGGGGACCAGUGGGGGCAAAGAACCUAACUGGCUUCAAGACUGAGCUGUAUU